CUAGAGACCGGCGCACGGGUGCGUAACGCGUAUGCAAUCUACCUUUUACAGAGGGAUAGCCCAGAGAAAUUUGGAUUAAUACCUCAUAGUAUGUGAGAAUCGCAUGGUUUUCACAUUAAAGUCACAACGGUAAAAGAUGAGCAUGCGUCCCAUUAGCUUGUUGGUAAGGUAACGGCUUACCAAGGCAACGAUGGGUAGGGGUCCUGAGAGGGAGAUCCCCCACACUGGUACUGAGACACGGACCAGACUCCUACGGGAGGCAGCAGUGAGGAAUAUUGGACAAUGGGCGCAAGCCUGAUCCAGCCAUGCCGCGUGCAGGAUGACGGUCCUAUGGAUUGUAAACUGCUUUUGUACAGGAAGAAACACUCCCUCGUGAGGGAGCUUGACGGUACUGUAAGAAUAAGGAUCGGCUAACUCCGUGCCAGCAGCCGCGGUAAUACGGAGGAUCCAAGCGUUAUCCGGAAUCAUUGGGUUUAAAGGGUCCGUAGGCGGUUUAAUAAGUCAGUGGUGAAAGCCCAUCGCUCAACGGUGGAACGGCCAUUGAUACUGUUAAACUUGAAUUAUUAGGAAGUAACUAGAAUAUGUAGUGUAGCGGUGAAAUGCUUAGAGAUUACAUGGAAUACCAAUUGCGAAGGCAGGUUACUACUAAUGGAUUGACGCUGAUGGACGAAAGCGUGGGUAGCGAACAGGAUUAGAUACCCUGGUAGUCCACGCCGUAAACGAUGGAUACUAGCUGUUGGGAGCAAUCUCA
rnacentral:rRNA from 1 species